CAAGUACUCCCUCCGUCCGGAAAGUCCGGAAAUACUUGUCAUCAAGAUAAAUAAAAGGGGAUAUAUCUAGAUGUAUUUUAGUUCUAGAUACACCCCUUUUUAUCCAUUUUGAUGACAAGUAUUUCCGGAAGGAGGGAGUACAUG
rfam:Triticum aestivum genome assembly, contig: Triticum_aestivum_CS42_TGACv1_scaffold_062188_1DL